ACACUGGAAGAGCCAGACAUGGCGAGCAAGAGGGCGAGGAGACGUCCGUUUCUCGGUCGUCGGCUCGGCGGACACGCGAGGAGCUCCGAAGAGACCGAUGUGGGAAGUCAGACGCUGGUGGCCGGUGGCCAGGAUCCGUCGGAGUUUGAGGCAGGGAUGAAGUAUAGGGAGGGUCCGUCGGAGGCAUCGGAGCUAGGUUUCGCCGGCCCAUUCACAGAAAGUGACCCGAGGUAGUCCAACGGGCGUCCCAUCUGCUGUCCGCCUUCCCACCGUCAGACCCUCCGUGGCAGAAAAAGCUCGAUCCUUGUAACCGACUUAGGGAAAACGGAAUGGGCUAGGAAGCUCUAGUCUAGAAGCUAAUUGGGGGAAAGUGCUUCUGGAUCCCUACCUCCAGAACCGACUGCAACAGAGUGUGAAGAAGCUAAGGUCUUGGCUGUAGAUGACACUUGUCAUCGCAGUUAUCCAUUCCUAAUGGGGCACUCAUAAUUGUUGCACUUUUUAAAAUAAAACGUUUUUGUGUUUUCAGAAAA